UGUUUGGCAGCCUCAUAGCUCUUGAGCAUGCAAGGAAAUAAUGAUAAAGGAAGGUUCAUUUAUUUUAUUCAAUGCUUUUGACAUCUUCAUAACAGAAAUUAAGCAAUGGCAUCAAUUAUUCUUGACAAAGUAUUAAAACUGUAUAGGUUGUUGGCAAUUCCUCUAAUUCGCUAUCUAGAAUAAUAAUGUAGUCAAAAUAUCAUUACUAAUGUUAAAAAAAGUACAGAA
rnacentral:misc_RNA from 1 species